GAUGAACGCUGGCGGCGUGCCUAAUACAUGCCAGUCGAGCGAACAGACGAGGAGCUUGCUCCUCUGACGUUAGCGGCGGACGGGUGAGUAACACGUGGAUAACCUACCUAUAAGACUGGGAUAACUUCGGGAAACCGGAGCUAAUACCGGAUAAUAUAUUGAACCGCAUGGUUCAAUAGUGAAAGACGGUUUUGCUGUCACUUAUAGAUGGAUCCGCGCCGCAUUAGCUAGUUGGUAAGGUAACGGCUUACCAAGGCAACGAUGCGUAGCCGACCUGAGAGGGUGAUCGGCCACACUGGAACUGAGACACGGUCCAGACUCCUACGGGAGGCAUCAGUAGGGAAUCUUCCGCAAUGGGCGAAAGCCUGACGGAGCAACGCCGCGUGAGUGAUGAAGGUCUUCGGAUCGUAAAACUCUGUUAUUAGGGAAGAACAAAUGUGUAAGUAACUAUGCACGUCUUGACGGUACCUAAUCAGAAAGCCACGGCUAACUACGUG
rnacentral:rRNA from 1 species